rnacentral:lncRNA from 1 species
ACUCUCUGUGGCACCACCAAGACCCCCUCACCCUGCCAGAGCCCUCUGAAGUGUACUCAGAAUGGAGGGGCUGGAAGUGGGGCCAGUGGUCCUGGUAGUCAGCCUCCCCUUCUGACACAAGAAUUAUCGUGGAACAGCUUGUGUGACCGAUCAACUGGUCUCUCCAUCUUUAAGCCAUUGUCUUGUUGACUCUGUUACUGCAGAGUUUGGGGAGGUCUCAUGGCUUCUCGCAUCCUAUUUCCUGAGCUUCCCUGAAGCCAACUUCUGGCCACUGGUAUGUGAUGCGAGCACAGUGCCUCCUCCUGCUCCUCCAGGAAGCUUCUGCUGAUUGAACGCAGGCCAGAUGGCGAGAUCCGGAGCAACCUUCUUAGAUCAAGGGAAGAAAGGGGCACAAGAGGGGAGUAGGUAACAAGAUAAAAGGAGCUCCCUCCCUGAUGACUACAGAGCCAUCGUGGCAGCCCUGGGCCUCCAUUUCAGACGUUCAUCUUCCUAAGCCACCACCAUCAGGGUCUCAGUCAGUCAUCAUUCUCAUUUACUCGGGUGGCUGGGCGAGGGCGGAAUACUACCUUCCAGCUGUCUGAGAUUAAGCAGAACAGCAGCUAAAGCAGUAACAGCAGGUCUCCUUCAGCAGCUUGCCACAGGGAAGAGGGUCCCGCGUGAACCGAACUCAACUUCCACCUGCGCAGAGGUAGCUACCAUUUGCGUAGAGGUAGCUGGGUCUUUAAGGUUAGAGGGAAGGCGCAGGGAGGGAGAGACGGCGGGUGGGGGUUGAACAAAGUGGAGAUUCACAAAAGCAGACUAGGGCGGGCGACGUGAUCAGAUGACCUGUGCGGGCGGCAGCCUCCUGCCCUCCUCCCCUUCGUGCGCCGGCUGGAGCGAAGAGUUCUUUUGACAGCCGUGAGCUUCCCCGCCAGGAACUUACUGGGGCUGCAUCACCCUAGAAACGUGGCUUUGGGCUGUGGAAACGCUGCCUCUGUGGAAGUCUCUCCUCGCGGGGGUGGACGGGUCGCUGCGCGCCCAGCGUUCUUCUGCGGUUCUCACAGCCCGCCGCCGCCGCCGCCUCGGGGACCUUUGCGGGGAGGCCUCAGGUCAGCGCCGCCCUUGCGAUGGCGGGAGAGCAGAGCGGCCCCAGGGCCUCUGAGCUCCGGCCCCGGCACGUCCCGCCCUCUCCUCCGCUUGCGGGAGCCGGGGCGCCUCGGAGGGAAACCUUCCGGACACAGGCCGGGAGAAGAGGGGCCGUGGCGCCAUCGCGCAGCUUCCUGGUUUCGGCCAUGUUUUUUUUUUUUUGAGACGGAGUUUCGCUCUUUUUGCCCAGGCUGGAGGGCAAUGGCGCCGUCUCGGCUCCCUGCAGCCGCCGCCUCCCGGGUUGAAGGGACUCUCCGGCCUCAGGCCGCGGUGUUCUUGUAAAUUAGAACCGGCCUAUGCGCCAAGCGCGGGUCUCGCGGCUGCGGAGAGAGGCCCAGCAGGGGGCGGGGACGCCGGGAGGCGGGGCCUGGCCGAGCUGCGCACACCCGGGUGGUUCUGGCUACGGGUACCCGGACCUGCCCAACGACCGUUCUCCAUUCCCGACCUCCGCACCCUACCCGGUCCGCAGGGCACCUUCCUCCUCUCUCUCAGGCUGGAGUAUAGUGGCAUGAUCAUAGAUCACUGCAGCCUCAAACUCCUGGGCUCAAGCGAUCCUCCCACCUCAGCCUCCAUAUAGCUGGUGGGGACCAAGUUUCUAACACAUGAAUGUUGGGAGACACAUUCAGACCAUCGCAGUGGCCUUAUAAAAAGAGACACAAGAGCUUGCUCUCUGCCAUGUGAGAAUACCACAAGAAGACUGUCCUCAGCAAAUCAGAAAGCGGGUGGACCCUCAUCAGACACCAGAUGUGCCUGCACCUUGAUCUUGGACUUGCCAGCCUUCAGAACAGUAAGAAAGAAAUGUGUGUUGUUUAAGCCACCCAGUCUAUGGUAACUUGCUAUAGCAGCCCACUAGGAGACCCCAAGAUAUUUAAAAACUCAUCAGCACCUGCUUUCUGCAUCUGGACCCUGAUCUUCUGGUGGGUUUACCAGUUACUUGUAGAGUGUCCCUGUGAUAGUUUUAGGUGUCAACUUGACAGGAUUGAGGGAUGCCUAGAUGGCUGGGGAAGCACUGUUUCUGAGAAGGACCAUGUUUUUGGAGGAGACUGUUUUAUGAGUGAAUUUCAGGGGACACAUUCAGAUCAUGGCAGUGGCAUUAUAAAGAGAGACACAAAAGCUUGCUCUCUCUCUCUGCCAUGUAAGACUACCACACAAAGACUGCCAUCUGCAAACCAGAAGCAGGUGGGCUUUCCUCAGACACCAGAUCUGCCUGCACCUUGAUCUUGGACUUGCCAGCCUUCAGAACUCUAAGAAAGAAAUGGUAGCAUGGCUUGGUCUAAGUUGGAAGGCCUGAGAAACAAGCACAUGGUGGAACUGAGUUCAAGGAUAAAGACUUGAGAAUACCUGCUCAGUGGACUGAGUAGGGAAGAUCAACCCUCAAUGUAGGCAGGCACUAUCCAAUCACCUGAGGGCCCAGAUGGAACAAAAAGGUGGAAGAAGGGUGAAUUCUCUCUUCCAGAGCUGUGACACCCUUCUCAUGCCCUUGUACCACACAACUCUAGGUCCUUUGGCCUUUGGACUCUGACACUUGCACCAGUGGCCCUCUGGGGCUCUCAAGCCUUUAGCCUUGAACUUAGUUACACCAUGUGCCUCCUUGUUUCUCAGGCCUUCCAACUUGGAUCAGGCCAUGCCACCGGCUUCUCUGAUUCUCCAGCUUGCAGAUGGUAUAUUGUGACCCUGGCAUUUAAUAACUAUGACUUUGGUCUUAAGCAAUUUUCUUCCUCUGUGGAUUGAUAUUUACAUAUCAAUGUGGAUAAUAAUUUCUUACCACGGUAACUGUUGUGAGGUAAAAAUGAGUUAACAUAAGUAAAACCGAGCACAUGCAAACCAUCCGAAAUGGUUAAUACUUACUAUUUGUACUUGAAGAAAUAAAUGUUUUUGACAAUAAACUUCUUGUGCAGUUUUCCUCAGCCAGUGUCAACUGAGCCGAUCAUUUAUGUGACAGUUUCAUUACCAAAUGGAUGUUCUCACCACUAUUUCAAGUGCAGUAUGAAACUUUAUUUGAAAUUCUAAAAAACUAAUUAAUUAAUUAAGGUUGUUUGGCUCUUGCAGCCUGUAUUAAUUUCCUAGGGCAGCCGUAACAAAGGAGUCACAUACCACAUGACAUUUUGGUCAGCAGCAGGCUGCGUUUCUGACAGUACUCCAUACAAUUAUAACACCAUUAUUUUUACGGUACCUUUUCUAUGGUUAGAUACACAAAUACUUACCGUGUUACAGUUGCCUACAGUAUUCAGAGUACAGUCACAUGCUGUACUGGUUUGCAGCCCCGGCGCAUUAGGCCAUGCCGUGCAGCCUAGCUGUGUAGUAGGCUCUCCUGGCUAGGUUUGUGAGUGUGCCCUCUAUGAUGUUCACACAACGGCCUAACGAUGCAUUUCUCACAACGUAUCCACGUUAAGUGACCCAUGACUAUUCAUUCUACAAACUGAGAAGCUUAAGUAACAGAAAUUUAUUUUCUCACAGACUUGGAAGACAGAAGCCUGAAAUCAAGUUGUUAGUAGGGCCAUUGCCCUCUGAAGGCUCUAGAGGCAAAUCUUUUCUUGCCUCUUUCAGCUUCCGGUGGCUCCCAGCAAUCCCUGACAUUCUUUUCCUUGUAGUAACACAACUCUAAUCCCUACCUCAGUCUUCACACAGUGUUCUCCCCUGUGGGUCUCUCAAUCUCUCACUCCUCAUAAGGACAAGUCUUUGCAUUCAGGGCCCCUCAAAUCCAGUGUGACCUCAUCUUAAUUUGAUUACCUUUGUAAAGAUGCAAUUUCCAAAUAAGGUCACAUUUGUAUGUACUGCGGGUUAGGACUUGAACAUAUAUUUUUAGGGGGCACAAGUGAACCCACAUCAGAGGUCAAGCCACAAAGCAGCCUACAUGGCGAAACCAGUCUUGUCGUGAAAAUGUAAACUGAGGUAAGGGCCAUGCUGCCUUGGAAAGCGUUCUGUGUUGUCAUUCCAGAGCCACGGGGGCUGGAUAGUGACAACAGAGGUGGGUUGCAGAUCUAUGGGCUACUCUUUGCAGAGGCAGUAAGUAGGGACUGCCACAGCAUUCAAUUAAUUUCCUGUAAGAAUACAUUUUAUUCAAGUUGAUAAAAAAGCUAUACUUAUUAAUAUUGCAUAACAUUCCUGUGCUAUCAAAUGAGAAUCUCCAGAAAUGAAUUUGAAUAGCUAUAAAACCCACAUUUUUCUGCAGAUACAUGUGUAGCCACCUGAGAGCCAGGUCCCUCAGUGUCCACAGACAUAGCCCUGCCACCUACCGCCUGCUUCCCAGAGCAAUGAAGCUUCUGCUAACUCAGGCUUAUCCCAGUCUCUAUUUCAGGCCAUCAGCUGGAUGAAGAAUUAAUUUAGUAAGCAUGAAACAGCUUGCAAAGCAUUGGUGAGUGGCUGAGGGCCAUGAAACGAGACCACCGUGUGGCCCAUCUCUGAAGAUGAAUCCAACAGCAGUGACUCUACCUGCGUCCUCCCCAUCUUUUCUGCUUUUUCAUACAAUGGCUUAUUCACUGCGUGUGACAUCAUCACUAGCACUGUGUUUAUCUAUCACAUUUCUUCUGUUUUGUGGGUUUGUUUUGCAUUAAAGGUCUACUUCUCUGAGCUUUGAGCUGUAAGGCUUGACUGUGAGCAGCAACUGAAGAGUGUGGCACCUCACACUCGGUAGGAAGAAGCUGAAUGACAGAUGUCGGCAGUGAGGGUGGGGAAAGCAGCCAGGUACCAAGCAGCUGUUUUUUAGGCUAACCAUUGAAGGGAAGCUCCUAAUCCCUGAGUUAACUUUUAGCAGAGAUUAACUCAGUCUAUCUAUUGGGAUGUAAAGGAUUUGGGCAUAAAGGUAUGUUAAUUCGGAGGCUCUGGAAUGUAUAACAAUUUCUCCCAUUGAAAUUUAUGAUAAUUAAGUGUUCAACUUACUGGAAUUUUCCCCACAAGACUCUUCUGGGAUGAAUUUGCCUUGGGGAGAAGACUACGUAACUGAAAACCAGCAUCCAGGCCCUCAAGAAGAAAUAUAAUCUCCAACAGUCUCCUUUUCAAUUUCUGUCAAAUGUCUGGCUUCUCUUGAAGGGAUGUUCACGAGAAGGGACAGCCGCCCUCCUCCGAGCCUCCUGUUUCAGCUGAUGCACCUUCAAGUACAAGGUCCUGUUCUUGGGCUCUGUUAAAGUUUCCCUCAAGAAAAAAACCUUACAUUUGCCAAUGCACUUGAUGUAAAGUUGUUGAGGAUGUUGACUCUCCUUUAAACAUUUAUUGAAGCUAGGAAUAAACUUAACUGGACCUGUGUAUAGGAAAUCUUAAAUUUCUACUAAGAGAUGAAAAAAAGAAUUCCCUUCCCUUCCUUAACAAUUCAGCUCCCGUUACACAAAACCAAACAAGAUGGGAUUCUGUUGUGGGGGGACAGAACUUCAUUGUCCUGAAGCUAGGUGUUGGAGCCCAAGCAGGGUGAGGAGGGAGUCAAGGAGGCCCAUGUGGUGGUGGAGCAUGGCCUGGCAUGGGUCUCAGUGCCCAAGCAAGGUGAAGAGGGGACCAUGCAGGGAGUGAGGGUGUCACUGCCCAAGUGAGGUGAGUAGGGCAAUUUUGAAAAGUCAUGAAAGUUGAGGAAGGGCUGAGGCACCAUUCUAGAUUGAAGGAGACUAAAAAGAUGCAACACUCACAAUGCACAAUUCUAAACUGAAAUCUUUGCUCUAAAGGACAUUAGGACAAUGAAAGAAACUUGCACGGGGUCUGAGCAUUAGGUAGUAGUAAUGAAUUGAUGUUGAGUCCCUAAUUUUCAUGGUUGUAUGCUGAUGAUGUAGGAGGUUCUUGUAGGAAAUACACACUCAAAAGUAUUCUGAGGUGAUGGGGCAUCAUAUCAGAAGCUUAUUCUCAAAU